rnacentral:rRNA from 1 species
CAGCAGCCGCGGGAAUACGUAGGGUGCAAGCGUUAAUCGGAAUUACUGGGCGUAAAGCGUGCGCAGGCGGUUUGUUAAGACAGAUGUGAAAUCCCCGGGCUCAACCUGGGAACUGCAUUUGUGACUGGCAAGCUAGAGUAUGGCAGAGGGGGGUGGAAUUCCGCGUGUGGCAGUGAAAUGCGUAGAUAUGCGGAGGAACACCGAUGGCGAAGGCAGCCCCCUGGGCCAACACUGACGCUCAUGCACGAAAGCGUGGGGAGCAAACAGGAUUAGAUACCCCAGUAGUCCCUGUCUCUUAUAC